GAAACUUCUUUAUCGCCGAGUGCUUGCACUCACCGAUAAAGAGUUGAGUGGCGAACGGGUGAGUAACACGUGGGCAACCUGCCCAAAAGAGGGGGAUAACACUUGGAAACAGGUGCUAAUACCGCAUAACCAUAGUUACCGCAUGGUAACUAUGUAAAAGGUGGCUAUGCUACCGCUUUUGGAUGGGCCCGCGACGCAUUAGCUAGUUGGUGGGGUAAAGGCUUACCAAGGCAAUGAUGCGUAGCCGAACUGAGAGGUUGAUCGGCCACAUUGGGACUGAGACACGGCCCAAACUCCUACGGGAGGCAGCAGUAGGGAAUCUUCCACAAUGGGCGAAAGCCUGAUGGAGCAACGCCGCGUGGGUGAAGAAGGUCUUCGGAUCGUAAAACCCUGUUGUUAGAGAAGAAAGUGCGUGAGAGUAACUGUUCACGUUUCGACGGUAUCUAACCAGAAAGCCACGGCUAACUACGUGCCAGCAGCCGCGGUAAUACGUAGGUGGCAAGCGUUAUCCGGAUUUAUUGGGCGUAAAGAGAACGCAGGCGGUCUUUUAAGUCUGAUGUGAAAGCCUUCGGCUUAACCGGAGUAGUGCAUUGGAAACUGGGAGACUUGAGUGCAGAAGAGGAGAGUGGAACUCCAUGUGUAGCGGUGAAAUGCGUAGAUAUAUGGAAGAACACCAGUGGCGAAAGCGGCUCUCUGGUCUGUAACUGACGCUGAGGUUCGAAAGCGUGGGU
rnacentral:rRNA from 1 species